ACAGUGGCGCAGCAAAAAAAUCAAUGCAGGCAGUUCUUGUAUUGACAAAAAAACACUUAGCAGUAACAAGAGAGACUUGUCCUGUAAAUAUUUGCAGGCACUUUGAAGAGAUAAAAUUAUUCAUAACUAUAGGUCUCAGUUUUGUAAAUUGCAAGUCAUGCAUGUAAUGGUGUUUUAAAUUGAGAUCAGUUGGUGAUCAUUUGAGCUUUGAGCCUUUUGUACAAAUUAAAGGCUGAAACACAACUGGUUGUUACAAACAGAGGCUUUGACAAUGCCACUUGCAUGGCCCAAGCACUAAGGACAUGUCAACCCCUAAGUGUUCAUACCAGUGAGACCCCUGCUGAAAAACCUUGGAAUUGAUGACGCCACUGACCUAGACUUAAGGGCUAUGCACACCGGGAGCGAAGCAAACGACACGAAUACAAAAAAAAACAAACAAAAAAACACAACUGUAGCUAGUCAUGAACGUACUGUCUGUCUGCUUUUGCUCCUUUGUGGAGGCGAAAUAAAAUAAAUAAAACAAAGAAAUAGUCUGGGUAACCCACACACUAACAGUGAAUGUAUAUAUGUGAUCUGGUUUAACAUGUAAAUUAUUCAAAAUGAAUACAUCUACACAUAUUUCUUUGUAAAUACUGAGAAACUUAGUUUAAUAUACUUUUUUUUAUUGAUUUUCAGUUUUAAUAAAUUCUUCAUUUAGGUUGUGAAUGUGAUUAUUAUUAUUGGUCAACAUCCCCGUCACUUUGAAUAAAAUUAAAGUGAAAUAAAGAGAUAGACAUACCA